AAGUCUUAAAUCUUAAUAUCAUUCUUGUUCCGUGAAAUACAUCAAUCAUUUAUUCCUCUUCUGAUAUUUUUACCCAAUUGCAUCUCUUCUCUAUAUGGAUUACAAGAUUUGUUCCUUGCAGCAGUUCAAACACUUCCUGCCAACGAACGUGUGCCUUCUGUGGCAGACGAAAGGAUGGGGAAUUAGGGAUUGCUUGGAGGUAUAGAUGCACUUCUCUGUUAGAAGUGAGAGUUGGGCAAUUACAUCUUCCUUCUCUAAGGAGGCUUGAUAUAUAAGCUGACAAACUCAUUGCAGAAAAUGAGAUGCAACAUAAAGCAAUUGACCACGAGAUUGAAAGAACUACAUAUCUCUGAGGCCUUACAGAGAAUCUUUGGAGAGGGAGAAAAUCAAAUGUUAGAUGGACUACAUGGAAUCCAUUAAGAAGCUCGAGGAGAAGUGGCUAAACAAUCAGCCAAAAAAUGGAACAAAUGGUUUCACUAAUGGCAGUCAUCGUAAACAGAUUCAAGUUAUAGACAGAAGUUGCUUUGAAAGAGUGGACUCUUCCCGAUCUUCGUAUGUACAAUAAUGAUGCAUCCAAGUGUUGCAAAUAACCAGAAGAGAAAGGUGCAAGAGCCGUUGUUUUGGUCCCAAUAACUGGACAAUACUUCCGUAAUGGGCAAUGCUACUUACUUGCACCAAAGAACUAUUACAAAUUUCCAACAGGCUGGGCCAAGCUUUUGACCUACCGAUCAAGAGUUGACUUUGAUCAUUCCCAAAAGCAGAAUUCAAAUUGCAAGAAGCAGUUCCCGUCCUACUAUUUUGUGCAUAUGGGGUACAAGGAGGCUGAUACAUGGUAGAAGGAUUUUGGUUUACAGGUGGCUAUGUCCAAGACCUGUUGGAGCUUUGGGUUCUUACAAAAUUCGCUGGUCAUAUGGCUGCAAAAAAUCAAUACAUUCUUUAGAUAGUGAUAUUUUUUCCUUACAUACGAUGAAAUCAUGUUAUUCAAAAUUUAAAGUAUCAGAAUAUUUAGGUGCUGAUUAUUUAGGGGUCUGUCUAUUGUUGCAUAAAUGUUUGGGAUGCUUUGGAAAUGACAAAUGUUAUGUUUAUCA